AUGUCAUGGUGUGGACACUUCCUAAGCAAGUCGUUCAAUAGCUCCCAUGCCUCAUGGAAUAAUUCCCCAUCCCCUUGUGAGAAUUCAUGAAUUAAAAUUCUUAUUU